rnacentral:rRNA from 1 species
GAUGAACGCUGGCGGCGUGCCUAAUACAUGCAAGUCGAGCGAACGGACGAGAAGCUUGCUUCUCUGAUGUUAGCGGCGGACGGGUGAGUAACACGUGGAUAACCUACCUAUAAGACUGGGAUAACUUCGGGAAACCGGAGCUAAUACCGGAUAAUAUUUUAAACCGCAUGGUUCAAAAGUGAAAGACGGUCUUGCUGUCACUUAUAGAUGGAUCCGCGCUGCAUUAGCUAGUUGGUAAGGUAACGGCUUACCAAGGCAACGAUGCAUAGCCGACCUGAGAGGGUGAUCGGCUACACUGGAACUGAGACACGGUCCAGACUACUACGGGAGGCAGCAGUAGGGAAUCUUCCGCAAUGGGCGAAAGCCUGACGGAGAAACGCCGCGUGAGUGAUAAAGGUCUUCGGAUCGUAAAACUCUGUUAUUAGGGAAGAACAUAUGUGUAAGUAACUGUGAACAUCUUGACGGUACCUAAACAGAAAGCCACGGCUAACUACGUG